rnacentral:rRNA from 1 species
AUUGAACGCUGGCGGAAUGCUUUACACAUGCAAGUCGAACGGCAGCACGGGGCAACCUGGUGGCGAGUGGCGAACGGGUGAGUAAUAUAUCGGAACGUGCCCAAUCGUGGGGGAUAACGUAGCGAAAGUUACGCUAAUACCGCAUACGAUCUACGGAUGAAAGCGGGGGAUCGCAAGACCUCGCGCGAAUGGAGCGGCCGAUAUCAGAUUAGGUAGUUGGUGGGGUAAAGGCUCACCAAGCCAACGAUCUGUAGCUGGUCUGAGAGGACGACCAGCCACACUGGAACUGAGACACGGUCCAGACUCCUACGGGAGGCAGCAGUGGGGAAUUUUGGACAAUGGGCGCAAGCCUGAUCCAGCCAUUCCGCGUGCAGGAUGAGCCUCGGUUGUAAACUGCUUUGUACGACGAAACGUCUGCCCUAAUACGUCGGGCUAAUGACGGUACCGUAAGAAUAAGCACCGGCUACUAACGUGCCAGCAGCCGCGGUAACU